GAUACUGGCAAGNUUGAGUCUCGUAGAGGGNGGUAGAAUUCCAGGUGUAGCGGUGAAAUGCGUAGAGAUCUGGAGGAAUACCGGUGGCGAAGGCGGCCCCCUGGACGAAGACUGACGCUCAGGUGCGAAAGCGUGGGGAGCAAACAGGAUUAGAUACCCUGGUAGUCCACGCCGUAAACGAUGUCGACUUGGAGGUUGUGCCCUUGAGGCGUGGCUUCCGGAGCUAACGCGUUAAGUCGACCGCCUGGGGAGUACGGCCGCAAGGUUAAAACUCAAAUGAAUUGACGGAGGCCCGCACAAGCGGUGGAGCAUGUGGUUUAAUUCGAUGCAACGCGAAGAACCUUACCUGGUCUUGACAUCCACAGAACUUUCCAGAGAUGGAUUGGUGCCUUCGGGAACUGUGAGACAGGUGCUGCAUGGCUGUCGUCAGCUCGUGUUGUGAAAUGUUGGGUUAAGUCCCGCAACGAGUGCAACCCUUAUCCUUUGUUGCCAGCGGUCCGGCCGGGAACUCAAAGGAGACUGCCAGUGAUAAACUGGAGGAAGGUGGGGAUAACGUCAAGUCAUCAUGGCCCUUACGACCAGGGCUACACACGUGCUACAAUGGCGCAUACAAAGAGAAGCGACCUCGCGAGAGCAAGCGGACCUCAUAAAGUGCGUCGUAGUCCGGAUUGGAGUCUGCAACUCGACUCCAUGAAGUCGGAAUCGCUAGUAAUCGUGGAUCAGAAUGCCACGGUGAAUACGUUCCCGGGCCUUNNNCACACCGCCCGUCACACCAUGGGAGUGGGUUGCAAAAGAAGUAGGUAGCUUAACCUUCGGGAGGGCGCUUACCACUUUGUGAUUCAUGACUGGGGUGAAGUGGUAACAAGGUAACCGUAA
rnacentral:rRNA from 1 species